rnacentral:rRNA from 1 species
AUGGUUUGUAUGGGGGACCUUAAUGAUAUCCUUUAUGAUGUGGAUGCGUGUGAUGGUAAUAUCAACUUCUAUCGUAUGAAUGCUUUCAGGUCUCUUGUUAAAAAUUGUGGGCUGUUUGAUAUUGGUUAUAGUGGUCCUGCUUAUACUUGGCGUGGUAGGCAACAUACUUCUAAGCCCAUUCAUAGACGUCUUGAUCGAUGCUUGGUCAAUUCUGAUUGGUGCGCUUUUUAUCCUAAUACUAAAGUGCUGAAUCUUCCUAUUAUUCUUGGUGACCAUGCUCCCAUUUUAAUUUCCUCGGAAGGUAAACUUGUUAGGCCUAGACAAUCUUUUAAAUUUGAAAACUGGUGGCUUAUGGAAAAAGAUUUUCACUCUUUUGCUAAAAAUAAUUGGAUUUCUAGUUCCCUGACCUCUUUUGCUGCAAAGUCAUCUUCUUUGGCAGGAUCUUUAAAAGUCUGGUGCAAGAAGAAAAAACCUCUCCAACAAGAACUUGCUGAGCUAGAAUCCAGAAUCAAGGAUUUGCAAUAG